UAAAGUACCCAGACGAAUACAAUCACUAAGGUGUUUUCCCCAGGGCUAGGCUUAACCAUUGGACUCCAGAUGUGCUGACCCUGUGAUUUCCCCUAAAUGGGGGGAAACUAGAUUUCAUAAUUUAUGGCAGCGGGGGACUGCAUUCACACUCUCCCCUG
rnacentral:snRNA from 1 species